rnacentral:rRNA from 1 species
GAUGAACGCUAGCGACAGGCCUAACACAUGCAAGUCGAGGGGCAGCAUGGUAUCAGCUUGCUGAUACCGAUGGCGACCGGCGCACGGGUGAGUAACGCGUAUGUAAUCUGCCUGUAACAGAGGGAUAACCCGGAGAAAUCCGGCCUAAUACCUCAUAGCACAUAUUAUUCGCAUGAGUUUUAUGUUAAAGAGACUCGGUUACAGAUGAACAUGCGUUCCAUUAGCUGGUUGGCGGGGUAACGGCCCACCUAGUCUUCGAUGGAUAGGGGUUCUGAGAGGAAGGUCCCCCACAUUGGAACUGAGACACGGUCCAAACUCCUACGGGAGGCAGCAGUGAGGAAUAUUGGUCAAUGGGCGAGAGCCUGAACCAGCCAAGUAGCGUGAAGGAUGACUGCCCUAUGGGUUGUAAACUUCUUUUAUAAAGGAAUAAAGUCGGGUAUGUAUACCCGUUUGCAUGUACUUUAUGUAAUAAGGAUCGGCUAACUCCGUGCCAG